CCUUCAUAUCGACUAUGCUGACUGGAGUAAUGAUAAGAUGCUAGUUUCAGCUAUCCUUGGUGAUGAGAUUCCGAAUGACCGGUCAU
rnacentral:rRNA from 1 species